rnacentral:rRNA from 1 species
GAUCAUGGCUCAGAUUGAACGCUGGCGGCAGGCCUAACACAUGCAAGUCGAGCGGAUGAAGAGAGCUUGCUCUCUGAUUCAGCGGCGGACGGGUGAGUAAUGCCUAGGAAUCUGCCUGAUAGUGGGGGACAACGUUUCGAAAGGAACGCUAAUACCGCAUACGUCCUACGGGAGAAAGCAGGGGACCUUCGGGCCUUGCGCUAUCAGAUGAGCCUAGGUCGGAUUAGU